GGGGAUAUAGCUCAGUUGGUAGAGUGUUUGCCUCACAUGCACAAGGUCCUGGGUUCAAACCCCAGUAACCCCC